rnacentral:rRNA from 1 species
GACGAACGCUGGCGGCGUGCUUAACACAUGCAAGUCGAACGAAGUGGCGAACGGGUGAGUAACGCGUAAUCAACCUGCCCUUCAGAGGGGGACAACAGUUGGAAACGACUGCUAAUACCGCAUACGGAAGGAGGGGAUUGCGGCUGAUUAGCUGGUGGGAGGGGGAACGGCCCACCAAGGCGAUGAGCAGUAGCGUGUUUGAGAGUAUGACGGGCACAUUGGGACUGAGACACGGCCCAGACUCCUACGGGAGGCAGCAGUGGGGAAUCUUCCGCAAUUGACGAAAGUCUGACGGAGCAACGCCGCGUGAGUGAUGACGGCCUUCGGGUUGUAAAGCUCUGUUAAUCGGGACGCGGUACCGGAAUAGAAAGCCACGGCUAACUACGUGCCAGCAGCCGCGGUAAUUC